AAUGUUUUUAAAAAUUAUUUUUUCCAGAAUUAUAUUUUCAGGAUUUUGAUCUUUUGGGGUUGUGAUUUUCAGGUUUGAUCUUCUGGGAUUUCAGCGUUUGGGGUUAUGGUGUUUGGGAUUGUGUUUUUGGGGAUUAUAAUCAGCUCCCCAAUUAAAGACUUUUCCAGACACACAAGGCUGAAGGAGUUCAGUGUCAGUAGCCUGCAGUGCGAGUUCUCUUUAAGGAAGUCUUCCACGCAGAGCGAAGGUGAUAGCAGGUGGGAAUCUGGACCUGUCCAAGGACACAGAGAACAAUGGAAAUGGUGUUGUUGGAAGACAUACUUCCUUAGCCAUCAAAGCUUUGAAGCUUCAAACCAAUAGCUGAAAGUGUUCUAUCCAGUUUGAAUUAUCACUUGAAAUUUUCAAGUCUUCAUGAGCCUCGAAAAUCCUCAUCUCCAAUGAUUCACUCUUAUUAAUAAGAUCACUAAUGAAUUCUUCAACUUUGUUCAUUAAG
rnacentral:lncRNA from 10 species